ACCCACACACACCCACCCACCCACCCACCCCCGCCCCUCCCAACCCUGCACCCAGUGUACAAGUUCUGGGCUUCCCUCUUUUCUAGCUGCAAGGUCAGAGCAGGUCUGGGGCGGUGGGCUGGAGGGUGGGGGGAGUUCAUCGGCCCAGGCUCUGCCACCUCACAUCAUCAUGGGUGACAGGAUCCAAUAUGUGGGCGUACAGAUUAGCCGGGCCGUCCAUCUGGAUGUUUCCUAGAUGCUCAGAUGGGGGCUAACCUGCCAUUAACCAGAAACAAGCACAUCCCGCGACUGGCUGACUUUUCUCCUUCCACCCAGGUGUUGGCAGUCCUCUAGGUGAACAGAAAGGGACUGCAGGCUCCACGACGCUGCUCUGCUGUGACGCCAGCUCUGGAGGGGACAGCAGCAUCAGAGCCACAAACCCUCUGACAGCCCCAGCACGUGCCGUCUGUUAAUACACUGAGAGCCGGCGGUGCUCAGGAGUGUCGCCGCCUUGCAGACAAGGUGGAGGUGGUGGUUGUUAAGUCGCUCAAUCGUGUCCAACUCUGCGACCCCACGGACUGCCGCACAUCAGGCUUCCCUGACCUUCAGCAUCUCCCCGAGCUGGCUCAAAUUCAUAUCCACUGAGUCGGUGAUGCCAUCCAACCGUCUCGUCCUCUGUCCUCCCCUUCUCCUUCUGCUUUCGAUCUUUCCCAGCAUCAGGGUCUUUUCCAUUGAGCCAGCUCUUUGCAUCAGGUGGCUAAAGUACUGAAGCUUGGAGAGAUUAGACACUCCAGUUGAGACCGGCUGCGUGCAAACUCCUGGGAGCCGUGCGGUGUGGAAAGGCUUUUGCCCUCUGAAAUCCAGGAGGCGGCCUCUGCAUUUGCUCUGUGACCUUAAUCUGCCCUGCGACCUCUCGGAGCCCUCCCUCCCUCAAUGAACAGAUGAACGAUGGAAAUCCAUCCCAGGGGGGAAGAAGACUCCAGCAGAAAGGCAGAGAUGGCUGGAGAAAGACCACUCUCAAGGAAGCUUCCCACCUCCCAACAUUAGUUCUGUGACAGUGGCCCCAAAUUAGCUGCCCUAAUCCUACUCCACCGGGCAUCACCCCACUUGCAUGACUGUUGCCUCCUGGAGAAAACAAAAUAAAUCAGGGAGUGGGUUUCAGUGUGUUGGGGGGGUGGGGGUUGCUGCAGGAGGAAGUGAGGGAGGGAAUGGGUGUAUUAUUUUUUUUUGGUAAAAGAAAAAAUUUCUAAGGUUCUCCCAAACUUGUUUGGACAUAUGUGUAUACAGAUUAAGCUUGUCUUUAAAGAACAGAGAAGUACAUCCACGGGAAAUGAAUUAUCCGUCUCUGUCUCUAUGUCUGGAAUAGCACUGCCAUCUAGCAGGUGCUUGGCAGUGGUUUGUGAAGGUUUCUGCGCUGUGAUCCCUGUUUCAGCUGGUGGCAUCAGCAAGGUACCCUUGACUCCUCUGUCUUCUCAUCUUCAUCCCUCAGCCAGCCACCAAGCCUGCCAACGUGUUUCUCACAUCCAUUCCCUUCUGUGCCGGUCCUGCCUUGGUUCAGUCCUUCCAUAGACUGUUGCCUGGACUAUCACAUCUGUCUCCUGGUUGGUCCUCCUUUCUCCAGCCUCUCCCGUCUGAUCCGUCCUCCACACUGUUGCAGAUCUGAUUAGACCCCUUCCUGCUGGAUAACUGUCC
ensembl:lncRNA